rnacentral:lncRNA from 1 species
GGCAGCCGUGGCGCUGGCGCUGGCGGCCACCUGGCCCAUGAUGCGCUCCUUCAGCACGUCCUACGUUCAGGAGGCACUGAUCACUGAUCUCUGCGACAUCGACAGCAGCUACAUGCGGGCGCCCGAUUCCUGCUUCUGGGUGGCGGAGGCCGACGGGGCGGUGGUGGGAAUGGUGGCUGUGGCCCCGCCUCAGGACCCGGCACAGCGCGGGGAGGCCCUGGAGCUGAAGCGGAUGUCGGUCAGCAAGGAUCACCGUGGCCGUGGCAUCUCCAAGGCGCUGUGCGGGGAGGUGCUGCGCUUCGCCCAGGCGCGAGGCUACAGAGCUGUGAUGCUGUACACCUCCGUAGUGCAGGUGGUGGCCCAGCGGCUGUACGAGAGGCAGGGCUUCAGGAAGGUGGGUGCCAGCAGCCCCUCGCUGCUUGCCAGCCUGGUCUCCUUCCAGAUCUUCCAGUACCGCUGUGAGCUGCCCGGCCGCCGCUAGGGCCUCCCCUGUUCCUGUAGCACUGAGAAAUAAACAGAGACUGUGGAAGGGUGCGAUGAGCGUGUCGUGGAUGCCGUGUGGCUGUUCUGUGUGCGGCAUCGCGCCUCCAUGUGGCUCAGGCCCACACCGUGAGCUCGGCCCAGCACGGCGCUGUGCUGCUCUGCCCUUCCUCGGGGCCUGCCCAGCCCCGCAUGGCAUCGCUGCACUGUGGCUGCCCACAGUUCGGUGCUGGGGGCCUUUUGGGGUCCGCUGGGCCUCGUGCUGUGCCCCCACCAGCACGGCCGUGCUGUGUCAGUGCUGUGUGGGCAGGGGAAGGCGGAGGUGCGGGGCAGGGCCUGUGGGUGGCAGGGGCACUGCUGUCCCAGAACGCAGGAACAGAUUCCCGCUGAGCUCUGUGCGCAGGGGUGUGAGUGGGGACGGGGAAUGCUGGUGGCUGGGUGAGACCGACCGCAGGACUCGGGCUGCGGACAGGACGGGACAGAGCCCGCGCUGGGAUGGCGGCUGCAGCCUUAUUCAAGAUGGCGGCGUUUCCCCUUCCCUCUGGUCCUGCCCUCACUCAAGAUGGCGGCGUUUCCCCUUCCCUCUGAUCUUGCCCUCACUCAAGAUGGCGGCGUUUCCCUUUCCCUCUGGCCUGCCCUCAUUCAAGAUGACGGCCGCCGUGGCGUCCGUCGUCACGCGGAGGGCGGAAGCGCAGCCUGAACUGAACCCAGCUGAGCUGAGCGGAGUCGCCGGGAGGGCCCGGCUCCGGCCGGCACCAUGGACUGCUACACGGCCAACUGGAACCCGCUGGGCGAAGAGGCCUUCUACCGCAAG